rnacentral:rRNA from 1 species
AUUGAACGCUGGCGGAAUGCUUUACACAUGCAAGUCGAACGGCAGCACGGGAGCUUGUUCCUGGUGGCGAGUGGCGAACGGGUGAGUAAUACAUCGGAACGUACCCAGUUAUGGGGGAUAACUAACCGAAAGGUUAGCUAAUACCGCAUACGCCCUGAGGGGGAAAGCGGGGGACCGUAAGGCCUCGCGUAAUUGGAGCG